rnacentral:rRNA from 1 species
GACGAAGGAUGCAAGCGUUAUCCGGAUUCAUUGGGUUCAAAGGGAGCGUAGGUGGCCUUAUAAGUCAGUGGUGAAAUCUCUGGGCUUAACCCAGAAAUUGCCAUUGAUACUGUAGGGCUUGAGUAUAGUUGCCGUUGGCGGAAUAUGACAUGUAGUGGUGAAAUACAUAGAGAUGUCAUAGAACACCGAUUGCGAAGGCAGCUGACGAAACUAUAACUGACACUGAGGCUCGAAAGUGCGGGGAUCAAACAGG